rnacentral:rRNA from 1 species
GAUGAACGCUGGCGGCGUGCCUAAUACAUGCAAGUCGAGCGAACAGAUAAGGAGCUUGCUCCUUUGACGUUAGCGGCGGACGGGUGAGUAACACGUGGGUAACCUACCUAUAAGACUGGAAUAACUCCGGGAAACCGGGGCUAAUGCCGGAUAACAUUUAGAACCGCAUGGUUCUAAAGUGAAAGAUGGUUUUGCUAUCACUUAUAGAUGGACCCGCGCCGUAUUAGCUGGUUGGUAAGGUAACGGCUUACCAAGGCAACGAUACGUAGCCGACCUGAGAGGGUGAUCGGCCACACUGGAACUGAGACACGGUCCAGACUCCUACGGGAGGCAGCAGUAGGGAAUCUUCCGCAAUGGGCGAAAGCCUGACGGAGCAACGCCGCGUGAGUGAUGAAGGUCUUCGGAUCGUAAAACUCUGUUAUUAGGGAAGAACAAAUGUGUAAGUAACUGUGCACGUCUUGACGGUACCCAAUCAGAAAGCCACGGCUAACUACGUG